rnacentral:tRNA from 2 species
AACGGGGUACUUUGGUAACCCGUGGGGGACCAAGCGCAGCGCCCGGCUCGGACUCAAAAUCCGGUUCCCCGAAAGGGGAGUGUCGGUUCGAGUCCGACCUCCG